AAUUAGUCUGCAUAAUCUUCCCCCAUAAAUCACUCCUCCCCAUCCCCUGCAGACUAUCGGCAGCAUCUGAAGUCAUUAGUUAAUUUAAACCUGGGAGUUCACACGUUGCAUUAUCGGAGAAGCAAUCUCCCUUCCCCGCUAAGCGCUUGCUCGGUGCAUCCCCGGCUGCUAGAUGCGAUCUGCGCCCGCUUUGAAGCAGUGAUGGGCUGCCAGCGGGUGAGCAGUUUGCCCGAGUGCUGGAAGGAGAAGGCAGCUCCGAUGCUGCUGCAGCUUCCCCAGCUGCCAGGGGAGAUCACAGAAUCAUAGAAUCAUCUGUGUUGGAAAAGAUCACCUGUCAGAUCAUCGACGCAGUGCAUCCACAGGUCACAUCUGCUGCUGCCACAUCCUGCUGCCAGGUAACCUCCCGUGCUUGCUCCCUGUCCCUCCGAAGCCUCACUGCCCAGCGGUCACCUCGCCGAGUGGAUGCCUGUGUUUGAUGAUUUUGCUGCAGGCAUACGAGCUGCACAUAUCAAAGCUGAGCCACAUCUUAUCUCCUGGCUGUGUUCCUGCCUGCUCCCAGCCUGGGAGUCCCGGCUGCAGGGUGUUCGCAGUGGUUCCCCAGCACCGUGUACUGUGGUGGGUUAGAGGUUCCAGUUUCAGGGCAGGGAGAACCCUGGGGCAGGUCUCUGGGGUGUGGGUUGGAAGGGCUGGCACAGCCGGGGCCCCAUCUGCCAGGAGGAUGCUGGUCAUUGCUGUAAGGUCAACCUUAAAUAAUGAGAAUAAUAAAAAUAAGGCAGCCUGGAGGGAAGAAGAGAGCAAACUGAAUCCUAAUGAGGUUGCAUGGGCACAUAGCAUGAUCAUUUCAUGCAAUUCAUUUUAAAAAGGAAAAAAAAUCGAGUUUAGAUUGAAGGAUGUGGGACACAGGCCAGGGCACAAUCCCACGAGGACACAGAGGUAGCCUGUUCCCCCAUCCCCACUGAGAUUCCACAUCCAUGAGCUGCUCCUGCCCUGUUGUGCUGAGGAAGGUCCAGGGCAAGCCCUGGCUGCAGAGGGGCUGGGAAAGGGGCCCAAAGGAUGGAGGGAGAUGCUGCUUGGUGCAGGAUGGGGGCAGGCAUCUUGUCAACAGCUUUACUGCAACCAAGUGUGGUGCCUGGUGUGAAGGGACAGAACAUUUGCUUUUAGGGAUGGCCAAAAUUUACUGAGUUGUGAUGGCAAACACUGAAAGAGGAAGUUUUAGAAGGGAAAUAAAACAUUAAUGCUUCAAGGCUUAAGGCAAUCCUCAGUGCAAAAGCAGGAAAGUAAUUAGUGCUGUAGAUGGGGAAAUAACCAGCAUUAAAUAGAAGCGGGGUGAGCACAGGUUGAAGGGGCUGUGAGGAGGAGGAUGGGCAGGGGCUCUCCAGGAGAUGGCUGGGAACGAGCCCAGAGUCCCCCAGGACCCCUCCAGCACACCGAGCCCCAGCAGUACCGUAUUGUAGGGGGGGCUGUGCCUGCAAUACCCCAUCCCUCCUCCUCCUCCUCGCCUCAGCUCCCGCUGGCCACAGGCCAGGUGAAACGCUCCUCUGAGCGCGGCGGGGACUGGUCCAACCCUGCACAGCUCCAAUUAUCCCCGGCUGGAGACUUUCCAGGAAUCCCAUCCCCUCUCUCUCCGCCGACCCUGCCUCUCCCAGCCUCCCCCCCUCAAAGCAAUUUGACUUUUAUAGUAAUAACUUCUGAACCCUGGAUUGGGGCCGUGCCAAGGAAAGCAGCAGAAAACAAUGUGAUGGGCCUCGGCAGGCGCGGAAACUCCAGCGACUGAGACCAGCCCUAAAAUAACUUUUGAGCGAUUGUUAUUUAUUCUGGGAGAAAGUUCGUUCAUUCACAAUUUGGAGGGGAGAUAAAUGAGGGCAGGCUGGGGCUGCCCGCCCUGCGCAGUGACAGCACGCCGUGGCUGCGGAUGCAGGGUGCCUGCAGCGCCAGGCACAGACAGAUCCCCACCAUCCUCCUGCACAUGUCCUGCUGGAAAACCUUUUUUAAAGGUAUUUGGGUUCAACUGAAAGCUGUGAGUUCAGGUAGAGGAGUCCAGCUUGAGGCUGGGGGUCUGCAUGUGCCACCAGGCACAGGGGGCUGCACAUUUUGUGUGCCUGUGUCCGCACAUGUUUCAGCUUCCCCAGCUGUGUUGUUCGACGUGGUGGCUGUGCCACAUGCCGCUGGCUUGCACGCCUGCCCCUGAGCUUUGCACGCUCGAGCCAUCGUUGUCCAAUGCGCAUCAGGUGGUGCAGGCAAACUCCAUGUGGGAACAGAUGGCAUCCUGCUGCAGGUCCCGGUGAGCAUCAGCGUGUGCACGGCAGCUCUCAGCCUACAUCAGCUGGGUAAGCAGCAAGUUGUGCAACCCCAGUAAUUCUUCAGCUCUGAGCUACCAUGACUUCCCUGCAAUUCACAGGGGCUGAACCAGGGCUCCCGGGGGAGCCUUGAGCAGCCUGGGCAACCACAGGCACUUCUGAAUCAGGGACACUCUCUGGAGGAGGCAGCCAGACAGCCAGCCCUCGGCACUGCUGCGCGUCUGCUCAUGCAGGUGUGUUUUAUGUUGCCUGUCACUGCGGUCUGGGCAUUGGUCGGGAUUUGGAGUGCAGCGAUGACUCUGCCAAACAGGGCCCAGGCUGCCUGUGUGACCCUUGGAGUGGAUGACUGGGCUCCCUUGACAGGUUUGGAGAGCAAAUUCUGGGGAAACACAGUCUUUGCCUGCUGGGUGACAAGGGUGACAGAGACCUUGCGGUGUGGCUCUUCGAUCAGGUGGGUGGGACAGGGACAGACAGUGACCUCCCUGACUAGGGAUGAGGGCCUUACCAGCUUCGUGUGCAGAUCAUCUCCAGGAAGGAUAUACAUCCAAGACUACCUGCCUACGAGCACCUCAAGUACAAGGCUUGAUCCAGCUCCACUGUGGUACAAUGCUGCAGUGGCAUGGGACAGCACUGCCAUCAUCACCCACCCUGCACAUCAGAUCUUUGAGGGUGCACUGGAGUGGGGAAACCCUGCCACAUCCUCUCCCUCCAAGGGGACAGCAGCGCUUGCCUGGGCCACCCCCUUCCUCCUGCUGCCUGCAGUCUGGGGGACCUUGCUGAGUGUCACCAAAUGUUUUUGCUUCAGGAUUUGUCUCUGACAUGUGGACACAGUGGAGCUGGGGGCCUGGAGCUGCAAAAGACGAUGACUCGGUCCUGCCCUUUGCUGAGCGAGGAGAGCACCAGGUUAUGUUUAGCAACACAGUCAGCCUGGUACUGUAUAAACUGUCGCUCGGUUGCCCUUGUGUGGGGGGAGCAGGGUGAGUGCAGGGUCAGACACAGGGCAGGAGCAGCCCUUGGCAGCGCCGGCCGGCACACACAGUUUCCUUCAUGGCACAGUGCCCGCGACGGUGAGACUGGCCCUGCUGGGCCACAUCCCUCAUCCUGCUAGGCAGGAAAGCCUUCAGCCCUGUGCUCCUCCUCGCCUCUCUGCAUCCCCUGCCCUCUGCCCCGCCACCACUGCGGGCAGCCCCAUCCUUGCCAGCUGACGUCCAUCCUCUCUGCUCUUCGGGCUGUCUGAGCAGCUCAUGAUCUUGGCAGGCAGCUUGGAAUCCUACCAGCCGUUAUUACAAUGAUUAUUUGUGUUUUCCCAGCUCAAAAGGGCUUUCCUCUCACCUCACUCUUGGCUGGCCUCGAGCCAGGUGGGACUGAGGACAGAGUGAGGAGAGGGGAGAAUCCUGCACUGUCAGAGCAAGGGACUGUGACGAGAUGCAGGAGAUGUGGCAGAGGGAAGGACAGAUCUUGUCCCUCUCCUAUAUGUUCAGAUUGGAAAUCAACACCCUCUUGGUUAAUUCAUUAGCUGUGAUUAGCAACUCUAACGUUUGGACUGGUUAAUGGGCUCUCUCUCGCUGGUAAAUCUCCAAGAGGAGUUCAGCAAGGUUAUCUGCACCAGGAAUGGCAAGGGAAGGGUGAGGAUGACUGCAAUUGAAUUAGGAAGCUGUUAAAGGAAGAAGCCAAACUGAGCCAGAGCAGGGACAAUGCAAAAUGUCCCCACAGCUAAAACACAGGGUAGAGCAUCAUUAGAACACAGGGCAGAGCACCUCACCAUGGUUGUACUCAUCUGGGUCAGGGCUGGGGACUGGGCCAGCAAAUCCCCAUGGACACGAGCACAGUCUGGGGUUUGGGGUCGUGUUAGCCAGCUCCAUACCUUGCAGAUCCCUUCACCAACACCUUCGUCUCCCUAUGUGGGCUGCAUCUUGUGCCAAGUGGGGGUUCCUCCACAGCCUGGAUUUCAUUAUUUAUUAAAUUAGCUCAGCAGUAACCUAUUUGUGAUGAUGAUGUGAGGUAGCGACCUUCAGUGUUUUCAUUAAAAUAUACACGUAUAUAUUUGUUUUCUGCGGUUAUGAAUGUAAUUCCACAAUCCACUGAGGAGCCGGUAAUUUCUGGCUGAGGUGGGAAGUUGCUGACAUCUUGUGAUACAUGACAAGAUUGAUUGUAUUUGCUUACCCUUUAACCUAAUAAAGAAAAAUAACGUU